rnacentral:tRNA from 1 species
GGCCGUGUGGCGAAAUGGCAUCGCGUCUGACUACGAUUAACUGCGACAUCAGGAGAUUGCAGGUUCGACCCCUGUCUCGGUCA